GAUCUAUCAAUGUCUGUGUUAGGUCCAUUCAGUCUGUAAUAUAGUUUAAUGUAUCUUUAUUGUUGUUGUUUUGUCACUCUAUUCAUUAAUAAAAGUGGGCUGUUGAAGUCCCCUACUAUCGUUGUAUUGGAACCUGUGACUCCCUUUAGCUAUUAUUAGCUAAUAAUGGUUUUUUGUUGUUGUUGUUUUAAACUGCAUGCUCUGGCAUUAGGUACAUAUACAUUUACAACCAUUUUAUCAUCUCUUUUUUUACUUUGUAUUUUGUGGCAGUGUCUCUUCCAAGUUGCUGAGGCUUUCACUAAAUUUCGAAGUCUGGCCUUGAACUUGUGAUCCUCCCGUCUCAGCCUCCCAAGUUACUGAGAUUACAGGCAUGUGCCACCAUGCCUGGUCUGUCUCAGAGUUUUUGUCUUCAUGUCUUUUUUGUCUUAUGUAAGCAUAGCUACUCCUGGUCAUUUUUGGUUUUUAUUUGUGUAGAAUUUUUCCUACACAUGAAUUUCUUACAGUGAGUUUCUUACAGGCAAGAUAUCAUUGAGUCCUUAUUUGUUUGUUUGUGGUUUGGUUUGGUUUUGUUUUGUUUUUAAUGCAUUCAUCCAGUCUGUG
rnacentral:lncRNA from 1 species